GGUUUUAGCUUUAAGUGUGAUGAACGAGCCGAGAGAAGGAAAGAGUUCUACUCUAAACUUGAGGAAAAGAUUCAUGCCAAGGAAGUGGAAAAGAAUACCUUGCAAGCAAAAUCCAAGGAAACCCAAGAAGCGGAGAUCAAGUUGUUCAGGAAAAGUUUGAACUUUAAAGCAACGCCAAUGCCUAGCUUCUAUCAGGAGCCUCC
rnacentral:misc_RNA from 1 species